rnacentral:rRNA from 1 species
CCCUUAGAUGUUCUGGGCCGCACGCGCGCUACACUGAUGCAUUCAACAAGCCUAGCCUUGACCGAGAGGUCCGGGUAAUCUUUGAAACUGCAUCGUGAUGGGGCUAGAUUAUUGCAAUUAUUAAUCUUCAACGAGGAAUGCCUAGUAAGCGUGAUUCAUCAAAUCGCGUUGAUUACGUCCCUGCCCUUUGUACACACCGCCCGUCGCUCCUACCGAUUGAAUGGUCCGGUGAAAUCUCGGGACGGCGGCUUGGUCGCUUGCGUCCGACUGCUGAAACUUGAUUAAACCAUAUCAUUCAGAGGAAGGUGAAGUCGUAACA